rnacentral:rRNA from 1 species
UUGACCUCGAAUCAGGUAGGAAUACCCGCUGAACUUAAGCAUAUCAAUAAGCGGAGGAAAAGAAACCAACAGGGAUUGCCUCAGUAACGGCGAGUGAAGCGGCAACAGCUCAAAUUUGAAAUCUGGCCUUUGGCCCGAGUUGUAAUUUGCAGAGGAUGCUUCGGGCGCGGUGCCUUCCAAGUCCCCUGGAACGGGGCGCCGGAGAGGGUGAGAGCCCCGUACGGUUGGCGGCCAAGCCUGUGUGAAGCUCCUUCGACGAGUCGAGUAGUUUGGGAAUGCUGCUCUAAGCGGGAGGUAGACCCCUUCUAAAGCUAAAUACCGGCCAGAGACCGAUAGCGCACAAGUAGAGUGAUCGAAAGAUGAAAAGCACUUUGAAAAGAGGGUUAAACAGCACGUGAAAUUGUUGAAAGGGAAGCGCUUGUGACCAGACGUGCGCCGGGGUGCUCAGCGGGCGUUCUCGCCCGUGCACUCGCCCCGGUGCAGGCCAGCGUCGGUUUGGAUGGGGGGAUAAAGGCGCCUGGAAUGUGGCUCCCUCGGGAGUGUUAUAGCCAGGCGUGCCAUGCCUCCGUCCGGACCGAGGUACGCGUUCUGCAAGGACGCUGGCGUAAUGGUCUCCAGCGACCCGUCUUGAAACACGGACCAAGGAGUCGAGGUUUUGCGCGAGUGUUUGGGUGGAAAACCCGCACGCGUAAUGAAAGUGAACGUAGGUGAGAGCUUCGGCGCAUCACCGACCGAUCCUGAUGUUUUCGGAUGGAUUUGAGUAAGAGCGUAGGGCCUCGGACCCGAAAGAUGGUGAACUAUGCUUGGAUAGGGUGAAGCCUGAGGAAACUCUGGUGGAGGCUCGCAGCGGUUCUGACGUGCAAAUCGAUCGUCAAAUCUGAGCAUGGGGGCGAAAGACUAAUCGAACCAUCUAGUAGCUGGUUACCGCCGAAGUUUCCCUCAGGAUAGCAGUGUUGUUCUUCAGUUUUAUGAGGUAAAGCGAAUGAUUAGGGACUCGGGGGCGCUAUUUAGCCUUCAUCCAUUCUCAAACUUUAAAUAUGUAAGAAGCUCUUGUUGCUUAAUUGAACGUGGGCAUUCGAAUGUAUCAACACUAGUGGGCCAUUUUUGGUAAGCAGAACUGGCGAUGUGGGAUGAACCAUACGGGGGGUUAAGGUGCCAGAGUAGACGCUCAUCAGACACCACAAAAGGCGUUAGCACAUCUUGACAGCAGGACGGUGGCCAUGGAAGUCGGAAUCCGCUAAGGACUGUGUAACAACUCACCUGCCGAAUGUGCUAGCCCUGAAAAUGGAUGGCGCUCAAGCGUCUCACCCAUACCCCCCCCUCAGGGUAGACACGAUGCCCUGAGGAGUAGGCGGCCGCAGUGCUGUGUGACGAAGGCUAGGGCGUGAGC